UGGUUGGUUGGGCUCUGAUUUUGGAAUGGACAAUUGGUGGUUCUACCGUGGCUCGUGGCAUAACUCCCAAUCUGGCCCUGUUUUUGGGAGGUCAGGAUAAGUUACCUGCUUUCUUGGCCCGUAUUACCAUCCCUGGACUUGAUAUUGUUGUUGAUCCAUGUGCAGCAAUUUUAAUCUGCAUUGUUACUGUACUUUUGUGCAUUGG
rnacentral:misc_RNA from 1 species